UACGAAGGGGGCUAGCGUUGUUCGGAAUUAUUGGGCGUAAAGGGCUCGUAGGCGGUCUGUCGCGUCGGGAGUGAAAACUCAGGGCUUAACCCUGAGCCUGCUUCCGAUACGGGCAGACUAGAGGUAUGCAGGGGAGAACGGAAUUCCUGGUGUAGCGGUGGAAUGCGCAGAUAUCAGGAGGAACACCGGUGGCGAAGGCGGUUCUCUGGGCAUUACCUGACGCUGAGGAGCGAAAGUGUGGGGAGCGAACAGG
rnacentral:rRNA from 1 species